UUCAUCCUUUAGUGUGACUGCACAGGUGUGGACCUGUCUAUGGAUUUGACUCCUCCAUCACUGUCCUAUCUAGAAAAACUACCAAAAAUAAACAAGGAUUUGCAAAAGACACAGAUUCUGAAGUGUUCAGUGUUCCAAUGACUGGAUAACUUUUGUAAGAUUUAGUAUCACUUCUGUAGUAUUUCAACACAAAAGACAUCUUCUUGAUAGAGCUGAGGAAAAACUUCACUGUCUUGCCCAAGCUGUUUAUUUUUUUCCUUUUUUUUUUUUCCCUCUCUUAUCUGACGACAGCAAAUCCAGUUGAACAAAUUCUUGGUGUUGAAGAAAAAUCAAAAUACAUUUUGAUUACUCAAAGUAUUUUUAGUUGGGGGGUGGUGAGGGAGGUCAAAGUCUGUAUUUGCUGGAAUUGUUUUAAAUAAUUGAUGUGCAUACACCUUAUUAUUGGUUCUUCUCACCUCUGCAGAAUAAACACUUCUGAUGGUGUAUUACAAAGAGAGCGUUUCUUUCCUUGCAUCUCCCAUUUUCUGCACCAAAAUCUGCUCUUCGGUAACCUCUGCAGCAUAUUUCACAUUGCACACUGACUCAGCAUCCCCUGCCUCAGCAAGUCCUCUGCAUGGCAGAUCCUUUGGGACAUACAGUGCCAUCAGCCCCAUCCUUUGCCUCCAUCCCUGUCCCCCAGCUCCCAGGCAGGCAACGUUAAUCCAAGCAAGCCAGCUGCGCACACAUUUGUUACACUGCAGAGCUCACAUCUAUGGGUCUGACCUUCGUGAGAGGUGUGGAUAUUCAGCUGUGUAGGUAAAACAACCCCAUGGAAGCUCUUCUAAUUAUCACACCAAGCUUCUUUACUGCUCUGUUUGAGGAGUCUUAAAAGGGCCUGAUUUCAGCUGAUGCAAAUUGCCUCCAAGGUGUCUCCAACUGUGCACUCAGAAUUACAAGAUACUGAAGGUUUUUUUCCCCUAAAAUAUCAUAAUGCUUCUACUUUUUAUUAUAAAAUAUUCAUUUGUUUUACAGAUCCAUGUCAGAAUGAGGUUAAAUCAUAUCACAGGCAAGAAUUCUUAGUGCAAACCUUACAGAAUAGCAAAUUACGCCUCGCUAGAGCUUUUACCGUUAAGCAAAUUAGAAAUGACAUUACAGACAUCUUAAUACCAGUUUUGGCUUCUUUCCGGAUCUGCUUGAUGCUUUCAGACAAGGGAGACAUGCUUGUGGAAUCAGAUUAUUCCCUCCCAUACAAACAGAAGCCUGGAAGCACUAAAUAA
rnacentral:lncRNA from 1 species